AAGAACAGUUUCAGGUUAAGUAUGGACCUCCGGAACGAAUUAAGUACUUAACUCGAGGUACCACUGUACAGAUAUUGACUGGGCUGAUGGUUAUAUCUUUCUUCAGCACCGAUGAUAGGAUAUCAUUCACCGGUGCACCUGAGGUGCAGCAGGGUAGCUUAGGAGGCAAGCGCAAGGUAAGUUGUGUAGACCCACACAGCAAUAUCCUUCAGUUGAUGAUCAUGGCUGGUCCUCAAGAGGAACGGCCACAGGACUGACAUGACCUGCCGUUAUCUACUGCCUGAGACAGUUGCCUCAUUUUGCCCAAUGGUUGCGUUGAUCUUGGUGGUCUGUAGGGAUUGUGAGGUAGUGUGGAAAUGAAGUUUUGUAAUAAAAAAGUAUAAAAUAAAAAAGGGACGUGGGUGGCGCUGUGGGUUAAACCACAGAGCCUAGGACUUGCCGAUCAGAAGGUCGGUGGUUCAAAUCCCCGCUAUGGGGAGAACUCCCAUUGUUCGGUCCCAGCUCCUG